AUUGAACGCUGGCGGCAUGCCUUACACAUGACAAGUCGAACGGCAGCACGGGAGCAAUCCUGGUGGCGAGUGGCGAACGGGUGAGUAAUAUAUCGGAACGUGCCCAGGUCGUGGGGGAUAACGUAGCGAAAGCUACGCUAAUACCGCAUACGAUCUACGGAUGAAAGCGGGGGAUCGCAAGACCUCGCGCGAUUGGAGCGGCCGAUAUCAGAUUAGGUAGUUGGUGAGGUAAAGGCUCACCAAGCCGACGAUCUGUAGCUGGUCUGAGAGGACGACCAGCCACACUGGGACUGAGACACGGCCCAGACUCCUGCGGGAGGCAGCAGUGGGGAAUUUUGGACAAUGGGCGCAAGCCUGAUCCAGCAAUGCCGCGUGCAGGAUGAAGGCCUUCGGGUUGUAAACUGCUUUUGUACGGAACGAAACGGUGAGCUCUAAUACAGUUUGCUAAUGACGGUACCGUAAGAAUAAGCACCGGCUAACUACGUG
rnacentral:rRNA from 1 species